rnacentral:misc_RNA from 1 species
UUUCCGUAGGUGAACCCGCGGAAGGAUCAUUAUUGUAUAACCGAGGUGCGAGGGCUGUCGCUGACCCGAAAGGUCGUGCACGCCCGAGUGCCCUCACACAUCCAUCUCACCCCUAUGUGCACCACCGCGUGGGUCCCCCUUUGGCUUGUUCGGAGGGGGGCUUACGUUUUCACACAAACUUUGUAUGCAGUGUAGAAUGUAUUUUUUGUUUUUGCGAUCACGCAAUCAAUACAACUUUCAACAACGGAUCUCUUGGCUCUC